rnacentral:rRNA from 1 species
CCGCGGUAUCCUAACCGUGCGAAGGUAGCGCAAUCAAUUGCCCUAUAAAUGAGGGCCUGUAUGAAUGGUAUGACGAGGGUUUAACUGUCUCUUUUUUCCAGUCAGUGAAACUGAUCUGUCCGUGCAGAAGCGGACAUUUUUAUACAAGACGAGAAGACCCUAUGGAGCUUUAGGCACUAACCAACUAUCGGAAGCAAUUUUACAAGUAAAUUCCACUUUAGAUUUUCUGGUAAUGUAGUCUUAGGUUGGGGCGACCACGGGAGAAAAAGAAGCUCCCAAGUAGACAGGGAAUAACCCUGAAACCAAGAGCUACGGCUCUAAGUCGCAAAAUAUUUGACUAAUAUGAUCCGGCCGAUGGCCGAUUAACGAACCAAGUUACCCUAGGGAUAACAGCGCAAUCCUCUCCCAGAGUCCUCAUCGACGAGAGGGUUUACGACCUCGAUGUUGGAUCAGGACAUCCUAAUGGUGCAGCCGCUAUUAAGGGUUCGUUUGUUCAACGAUUAAAGUCCUACAUGAUCUGGUCCCAAACAGGGA